UUCUCUGGUCUCCUUCCAGGGGUCUCCACUGGACAGGCCCCAUCAGAACCAGAUGGGGAGGGUCAUUCCUGCAGGUCAGCCUUCUGAGGCUAGAGAGCAAGGAUUCAAGUGUUUCAUGGCUUGAUAUGGCUAGUAGAGACUGUUCCAAUCUACCAGACUUCAAGGGGGGAAACAAUCUCUUUGGCCUUUGGUUCCCUGAGGAGGGAACAAAGCUAUAAAAUGUGGUUCUCCUUCCUGGAGAGGUAAGUAGAAUUAGAAAAGUGUGCAAUCGUCUCACUAAUGAAACAGUUCGUCCUGAUUAACCUUGGCCCAAUUCUGUAUUACCUCAAGUCUAGAAUCCCUUAUGUGUAAUUCCAAAAUUCAACUACUUCUGUAGUAAACUGGAAAAUGUUUCCAUACUUCAUCUGUCAACAAAACAUGGCCAUGUGACAUGAACUGUUUAUAAUCAUUACCCUACUUUGUAUGAACAUUUUCCUUCAGAAAAAUUAUUUGGUUACUG
rnacentral:lncRNA from 13 species